rnacentral:tRNA from 1 species
GGGAGAGUGCUAGAGUGGCUGAAUAGAGCCGUCUUAAAAACGGUAGACCCGUACGCCCGGGUCCGUGGGUUCGAAUCCCACCUCUCCCG